ACCCGCGGCCUAGUGGUUAGCGCUCCCGUUUAUAAAAUGUUCAACGUGGGUUCGAACCCCAUGAGGGUC